GACGAACGCUGGCGGCGUGCUUAACACAUGCAAGUCGAACGGGAUCCGGGCUUUCGGGUUUGGUGAGAGUGGCGAACGGGUGAGUAACACGUGAGUAACCUGCCCCCUUCUUUGGGAUAACGUCGGGAAAUCGGCGCUAAUACUGGAUAUUCUUGCUGCAUCGCAUGGUGUGGUUUGGAAAGGGUUUCUGGUGGGGGAUGGGCUCGCGGCCUAUCAGCUUGUUGGUGGGUGAUGGCCUACCAAGGCUUUGACGGGUAGCCGGCCUGAGAGGGUGUCCGGCCACACUGGGACUGAGACACGGCCCAGACUCCUACGGGAGGCAGCAGUGGGGAAUAUUGCACAAUGGGCGCAAGCCUGAUGCAGCGACGCCGCGUGAGGGAUGACGGCCUUCGGGUUGUAAACCUCUUUCAGUAUGGAACAAGGAUCCUUCUUUUGGGGGGUUUGAGGGUACGUGCAGAAGAAGCGCCGGCUAACUACGUG
rnacentral:rRNA from 1 species